rnacentral:lncRNA from 1 species
GGGUCUGGUGCCAGGAGGAGUGGGAGGAGUUCCAGGGCGGGGCCGGCGAGGGAAGCGCGCCCCUGCUGGGCCUGGAGGACAAGUGGCCAGCCGCCGCAGGUUUCCUGCGCCCCCGCCCGGAGAAGACUCCGAGGAACAGUUCACGUUUUACAGCCGUCAACGUGAAGGCAAAACUGAACGACUGUAGCCCGGCGCGGCCCACACCUGUCAUCCCAGACUCAGGAGGCUGAGGCAGGAGGAUCGCAAGUUGGAGGCCAGCCUGGGCAACUUAAGGAGACCCUGUCUCCAAGUAAAAACUGAUAAAGGGUGGGCUGUAGCCGCGUGGUACAGUGCCCAGGGGUUCAAACCCCAGUACUAGAAAUAAAUAAAUAAAUAAAGUCGGCCAUGCUACCAUCUAAUUUUUUAAAAAUAUUUUUAUUUUAUUUUUUAGGUGUAGAUGGACACAACACAACGCCUUUAUUUUUAUGUGGUGCUGAGGAUCGAACCCGGGUCCCGCCUGUGCUGGGCGAGCGCUCUACCCCUGAGCCACAAUCCCAGCCCUAAUAUGUAAGUUUUUAAAAGCGCCAUCUUUUCUUUUCAUGUCAUCUUUCCCAUAAAAUGUGCUGUGUCCUGGAAUAAACCAGGCUGCCCCUCCUAGUCCUGAGUUCCUGUGAACACAGACAGCCCCCUCCCUAGGGUGGUUCAGCUGCGAUCCUGUGACUUCAUGGUGGAAAGCCAUUUGCACUCAGCGGAAACCACACUUGGAGUUCUGAAUUCUGGCCUCUGCCCAGGCUCGCAGCAGGUAAAGGGACACUCCAGCCCUGCUGUGGGAGGGGCAGCCACGCAGUCAGACAGUCCACACUGCAGCUGAAGGGACCUUUCACGGUUCUUCAGACACAGAGUGUCUUAGCUGUGCACCGCAGUGGGCAGCGCUCAUGCGGCCCUCUGGCCUCCACUGCCAGUACCUGUUGAGUCAGUGACAUGGGAUGUUCAACACCCGAGGACAGACUGCUGGGUCUGCCAACUGUCUGCUAAAGCUGGUGUGAGCCUGGGGGACAGGCCCCACUAGGCCGCCACUUGCGGUAGGUUUGGUGUGCUUUCAGCUGAUAUUUUCACUUUACGAGGGGUUUAUCAGGAAGUAAUCCCAUCAAAGUUUGAGCAUCUGUGUAGCUGAUAAAAAAGAAAAAAGGAAUCUAACCUUUUGAUGAGCCUGGAUUUAUCUUUUCAGAGCAAUCAGCUAAAAAAAAGAUCACAUUCUCAGCUGUUCCCUCAGCCUAGCAAAUCAAGCAACUAGAAACCCGGAGAUGUUGAACCAGACUGUGCUAGUUUACAUCUCCAAAGCAGACUGACUCCAGGGCUUCAGGAAGAUUGCACAGGAAGCACACGUCCACCUCAUUCUGUUCCCUUCCUCUAAUGACUGCAAAUACUAAGCCACAUCCUCAUCUCCUCUCCCCUCCACCUGACGGAUUUCCGCUGGCCCUUCAGGCUGGGGAUGUGCUCCGUGUACAGCAUGUGCCUGGCGUACACCUGUGAGGUCCUGGGUUUGAUUCCCGGCAGCUUGGACAUGGCUGUGUUUCCCUGUGUGCUUCAGGAGUGGUUUCUAAUGACCUGUCCUCUCUCACUGCCUCCUGACCCACUCCAUGGACACUGCGGGUUGCCACAUCUCAGCAGCAGCGCUUCACAGCUGCCCACUCCUUUCAGACACCUUCUUCUGGUUCUCCUUCAAGUCACUGCUCCCUCCCUCCCUCCCUCUCUCUCUCUCAUCUGGCUCCUGCUCCUCUGGAUGGUCCCAAUGGUCUCUCCCUGUCCAUUCUCACCAACCCAGUGGCCUCACAUAGUCCACCCCAUGCUGCUGACUCCCCUGUCCACACCUCCAGUCUGAACCCCUUUCCAGAACCUCAGGUUUGAGUAUCCACAAGUCUCCAACCUAACCUGGCCUUUCCUGUAUCAGGGAGCAGCAGUGGCUUCUUCCAAAGCUGGGUACUUUGCUCUUUCUCCCUCACACUCCACAUCCAGUCCACCCUAACUGCAAAUCCUCUCACUUGACCCUCAAAACACCAUACCCCCAUCCACUGGCCUCAUCCCACUCUUUCCACCACCUCUUGGCUGGUGGAACUGACCUCUGAAGUUGCCUCCUGUGACUGCUUUUGCCCCAGUGCAACCAUUCCCUGCAAAGCAGCCAGUGACCUUCUAAAAGCCAUGUCAUGCCAGUCCCCAUGUUAACCCUGCUUUUUGAACUCCAGACCCUGGCCACCCCCAACCCUGCCACCUCCCCUCCUGCGCUCUGCUCUCCAGACCUCUGGCCUUUUAGCAUGUGGAUCUCCUGCUCCUCCUGCCUCAGGUCCUUACCCAGGCAGGUUUCCCCGAGAUGCUCUUCCUGACUCAAAUGCUUUCCCCUACAGACACCCAGUUGCAGAGAAGCUGCCCUGGCCAUUCCUACAUGCUGGCCGCGGAGCCUCCCCGUAGGCACGUGCAUGUUCCUUGUUAGGUUCCGUGAGGACAUUUGAAUCAACAUCUGCAGACACCCGUCAACCUCAUGUCUGUGGUAUGAUUCCUGUGUGGUGUCACAGCUGUGCAUACCUUCUGGUCACUCGUUCAGCGCUUAGCACACAGUACCCCAAGAAAAGCUCGUGAACACUGCCCUCCCGAGUUUUCACACCAUCACUGUAAUGGCCUCCUGCCCCACGUCAGCGCUUCUAGUGACGCAGCACAAGCUCAGUGUGAGAAUUUUCUGCACAGUGGUGCCCUCAGGACCACUCUGGGCAGCUGGGAGUACCUGUCACCCACAGUUGAAAGGUGAGAUACCUGAGGCACAGGAACUCACCUAACUUCAGGUCACAUGGCCAGGAAGUGACAAGGCUGGGGUUUGAAUUCAGGGAAUCUUGCCCAACAGUCUCUACAGUAGCUGCUAAAAUGCAGUGCCAGCAGCAGUGGUCCUGAACCUGGGGGAGCACUUAACACCCCGCCCAGGUGCAGCCGCCCAGCAGCCUACAUCUGCCCUUGCCGGCCUCCAUCCUGAGCAGAUGUCUUUUCCUUCCCACUGGAACAGGGGAAAGGGGAGCAGUUCUGUGCCAUAAAAAACUUUGCUUUGGAAAAGCAAGAUGAGCAGGGUGCGGAGGGACUGGCGGGGAAACAGGUGCUGUGUCUGCUGCCCCCAGCACUCCAGCAGGACAACUGAGGGAAAUGGCACUCGCUGCUUUCCUGUGGACACCACAGCCCAUGCGUUCUGCCUUUGGAGAAUCUUUGACAUGUUUCUUCCAGAAAAACAGCCACCAACAGCCCAGAAAUGUUUCACGACCAGGUUUCAUUACCACCAUGAGACUGGGGAAGAACCUGUUGAGGUGUUCUGAAAGAUGGCCUCCUCCGCUGCAGAGAAGUGCCCUGGAAGACCAGGUGACCCAAGCCACUGAAACCAGGGACACGGACACCGCCCUAGGCAAACAUGCUCCAUGAAGGGCCAGAGUCAACACGUUAGGCUUUGCAGGCCAACAGGAGAAACUGAAGGUAGUAUACGGGGAAAUAUUUAACAGCCAUUUCUAGGAUUCGGCUGGCCCCUGCUGUGUGCUAAUAACUUUGCUUUUGUCUGCUCGCCCAGCGUACUUGACCUCUCCUGGCCUGCGGGAAGAGCGAUGAAGAGUGAGAUUUUGCCCGGCUUGCAGGCUGUUGGCCUCACCCAGAUUCCCAGAUGUAACAGGACUGAGGCCCCCUGGGUGAGAGACGUGGCACAGUCAACUGUUCAAGAGCAGAAGCAGUAGCCAGACUGCUGGCGCUGGGGAUCUCUGAGGGAGCUGCGAGGUGCUCUGACCACAGGUCUCAGGACUGGGCAGGAAGUCGGGAACCUGGGAGGCAGAUGUUCACACCAAAACCAAACUCUGCAGCCUGGUGCCUCAGAGGCUCUGGUGGAGAGAGUACACAGUGAGCAGAACUGCUCUCAGCCCUCAUCUUCAUUCAGGUCCUCUCCCCCAGGGCCAUUCCUGCUAAGACCCAGCCAGAGCAAGGCCAGGCAGAGUCUACGGAAAAGCCAUCUGGGCUAAUGACUUCCAGCUGGAACAGCCUGAGGGCUUUGUGGGAAACACACAGAGCAGGGGAGAAAGGCCAACAGAUAACACACAGACACACCUGGGCACUACUCAAGAGGCCUGGACACACAGCCAAAAAAAAACCACUUGCUGUGAAACACAAGGGCCUGUCUAUCAAUAAACCUGGGGUUAACAGCAAGACCUGCAUAAGAAAACCAGCCAUGAGAGAUGGGAGGGGAGGGGA